GGAAACUGACCAUGAGCAGCAGCAGCAAGGCUGGGCCAGCCGUGGAAAAGACUGUCCGAAUCGUCAGCCCCAGUGCCCCCAGCCCUAGGACGGUGUCGAGGAGCUGGGCCAGAAAGCUGCCGGAGGAUGUGCUUCAGCAAAAUCAGGUAUUAAACCGCAAGGACAAUAUGAGACUAAAGAAAUGAGGCUAAGUACAGGAAAGCAAUGAUGAGAAAGGCUCAGGAUGUCAGCUGUGCUUCCCAGUGAAGAAAGCAAACAACCCAGCCCGGACUCAAAAGCAAGAUGCUCCAGGAGGGAUGUCUCCAGAAGAAAAUGAGAUUGAUUAUCUGCGGUUUUUAGACAUGUUAAAAAUAAAUGUUCAGUUCCGCUGGUUGCUUGGGGAUUAAAUUAUCCAUUGGUGCCCAGAAAACCAAGCAGAUGAUAAAACAAAGUAAUCACUAACUCCAGGGAACACAAAAAGCUGAACAGUAAUAUUUACAUGGCCACAAUGUAAGCCCUGAAUAUCCAUCCCGGUGAUUUAGCUCUUUGGGAGGAUGGAAGAAGUGUGUUAGUGUCCUUGAACGUAUGUGUGGGGGAGGGUGGUAGGAAAAGCGAAAUCCUUAAUUCCACAGCAGGAAAUCUACAGAUAACAUCUAGACCUAGAAAAAUUAAGAGGUAACAAUAGAAGCAUAGAGAUAAAUACAAGGAGAAAU